CUUGUUUCUUGUUUGUUGUGACUAAAUUAAAAUAUGUGUCUCGAUCAGGAAUGAUUCUGGGAAAUUCUAUCCAUAUGGUAAUGAUGGAUCAUAUAACAUGACCGGAGAAGGGCCGGGUGCAGGCUACAGUGUUCUGAAUUUCAGAGAAUAUUAACGGCUGUUUCUAUCGGAUGAUGAUAGGUUUCAACUUACUCAUGGCCGAGGAGGAGAAGAGGCGUGAGACAGAAAGGCAGUAUACGGAGGAAAAAUCCCGUCUCAAGGGAGAGCUACAACGCGAGAGGAACGAGUUCAAGGGCACGAGAGUUGAGUUGGAGAGUACGCGGAAAGCGCUAAGGAGAAUCAAUGCAAUGCUGCGCAUUAAGGAAUUUAAGUACAACAAUGAGAUGCUAAGUGGGAAGAAUUUCUUGGCCUCACCGGCCAAAGGGUAAGGAGUUUGUUGCUAAUCUAAUUAGGAGGAAGGCCGUUAGCAAGUAUAUCGAGCCUCGCCAGACUUCCAGGAGGAGGCCAUGCAGAGGGCGUUCACUAUAUACGAUGAUGUCGUUCGAGAUUGCAGGUGCCAGCUCAGCGAGACUAGUAGCCGUAGCGGAUCGAGUUGAUGCUAGUUGUGUAAGUGAAAUAUCAAUGGCAUUAAUUUAUAAAUUUAUUCAGUACAUGAUCAG